rnacentral:rRNA from 1 species
CGGGACGGGGUGGAGUAAUGUCUGGGAAACUGCCUGAUGGAGGGGGGUAACUACUGGAAACGGUAGCUAAUACCGCAUAACGUCGCAAGACCAAAGAGGGGGACCUCGGGCCUCUUGCCAUCGGAUGUGCCCAGAUGGGAUUAGCUAGUAGGUGGGGUAACGGCUCACCUAGGCGACGAUCCCUAGCUGGUCUGAGAGGAUGACCAGCCACACUGGAACUGAGACACGGUCCAG